rnacentral:misc_RNA from 1 species
CAGAGUUCAUGCCCUCACGGGUAGAUCUCCCACCCUUGAAUAUAUACCUUUGUUGCUUUGGCGGGCCACGUCCGCGUGUCGGCUUCGGCUGGCUGUGCCCGCCAGAGGACCCAAACUCGUUUGUUUCGUGAUGUCUGAGUAUUAUAUAAUAGUUA